GAGCGUGGGAACCUGGCGGGUAGUAGUCAAGCGAUGGGGUGACGCAGGAAGGUAGCUGAGCCCGGCCGGUGGUUGUGCCGGGGUAAGCGUGUAGGCCGUGCUGUAGGCAAAUCCGCAGCACAUGUAGGCUGAGACGUGAUGCCGAGCCGAUUCAGGUGAAGUCAGUGAUCCUAUGCUGCCGAGAAAAGCCUCUAGCGAGUUCUUAGCGGCCCGUACCCCAAACCGACACAGGUGGUCAGGUAGAGAAUACCGAGGCGAUCGGGCGAACUGUGGUUAAGGAACUCGGCAAAUUGCCCCCGUAACUUAGGGAGAAGGGGGGCCGGAGACGUGAAGCCCCGCGCGGGUGGAGCGUUGUAUGGCCGCAGAGAGCAGGGGGAAGCGACUGUUUACUAAAAACACAGGUCCAUGCGAAGAAGUAAUUCGAUGUAUAUGGACUGACGCCUGCCCGGUGCUGGAACGUUAAGGGGACCUGUUAGCUCUUCGGGGCGAAGCGGAGAACUUAAGCGCCAGUAAACGGCGGUGGUAACUAUAACCAUCCUAAGGUAGCGAAAUUCCUUGUCGGGUAAGUUCCGACCUGCACGAAUGGCGUAACGACUUCCCCACUGUCUCAACCACAGGCCCGGCGAAAUUGCACUACGAGUAAAGAUGCUCGUUACGCGCGGCAGGACGGAAAGACCCCGGGACCUUUACUAUAGCUUGACAUUGGUACUUGAGUUAGCUUGUGUAGGAUAGGUGGGAGCCGGUGAAGCUCAUACGCCAGUAUGGGUGGAGGCAAUCUUGAAAUACCACUCUGGUUGAUUUGGGUAUCUAACUUCGGACCGUUAUCCGGUUCAGGGACAGUGUCUGGUGGGUAGUUUAACUGGGGCGGUUGCCUCCUAAAGGGUAACGGAGGCGCCCAAAGGUUCCCUCAGCCUGGUUGGCAAUCAGGUGUUGAGUGCAAGUGCACAAGGGAGCUUGACUGUGAGACUGACAGGUCGAGCAGGGACGAAAGUCGGGACUAGUGAUCCGGCACUGGCAUGUGGAAGCGGUGUCGCUCAACGGAUAAAAGGUACCCCGGGGAUAACAGGCUGAUCUUCCCCAAGAGUCCAUAUCGACGGGAUGGUUUGGCACCUCGAUGUCGGCUCGUCGCAUCCUGGGGCUGUAGCAGGUCCCAAGGGUUGGGCUGUUCGCCCAUUAAAGCGGUACGCGAGCUGGGUUUAGAACGUCGUGAGACAGUUCGGUCCCUAUCCGCCGUGCGCGUAGGAUACUUGAGAAGGGCUGUCCCUAGUACGAGAGGACCGGGACGGACGAACCUCUGGUGUGCCAGUUGUCCCGCCAGGGGCACGGCUGGUUAGCUACGUUCGGAAGGGAUAACCGCUGAAAGCAUCUAAGCGGGAAGCUCGCUUCAAGAUGAGGUAUCCCACCCACUUUGUGGGGUAAGGCCCCCAGCUAGACGACUGGGUUGAUAGGCCGGAAAUGUAAGCCCGGUAACGGGUUCAGUUGACCGGUACUAAUAGGCCGAGGACUUGACUAC
rnacentral:rRNA from 1 species